GAUGAACGCUGGCGGCGUGCCUAAUACAUGCAAGUCGAGCGAACAGACGAGGAUCUUGCUCCUCUGACGUUAGCGGCGGACGGGUGAGUAACACGUGGAUAACCUACCUAUAAGACUGGGAUAACUUCGGGAAACCGGAGCUAAUACCGGAUAAUAUAUUGAACCGCAUGGUUCAAUAGUGAAAGACGGUUUUGCGGUCACUUAUAGAUGGAUCCGCGCCGCAUUAGCUAGUUGGUAAGGUAAAGGCUUACCAAGGCAACGAUGCGUAGCCGACCUGAGAGGGUGAUCGGCCACACGGGAACUGGGACACGGUCCAGAGUCCUACGGGAGGCAGCAGUAGGGAAUCUUCCGCAAUGGGCGAAAGCCUGACGGAGCAACGCGGCGUGAGUGAUGAAGGUCUUCGGAUCGUAAAACUCUGUUAUUAGGGAAGAACAAAUGUGUAAGGAACUAUGCACGUCUUGACGGUACCUAAUCAGAAAGCCACGGCUAACUACGUG
rnacentral:rRNA from 1 species